rnacentral:tRNA from 1 species
GUAGAUGUAGCUUAGUGGCAGAGCACCUGCCUAGCAUGUAGGAGGCCCUGAGUUUCAUCUCCA